CCUACGGGAGGCAGCAGUGGGGAAUAUUGCGCAAUGGGCGAAAGCCUGACGCAGCGACGCCGCGUGAGGGAUGAAGGUCUUCGGAUCGUAAACCUCUGUCAGCAGGGAAGAACGGUCACUGUGCUAAUCAGCAGUGAAUUGACGGUACCUGCAAAGGAAGCACCGGCUAACUCCGUGCCAGCAGCCGCGGUAAUACGGAGGGUGCGAGCGUUAAUCGGAAUUACUGGGCGUAAAGCGCUCGUAGGCGGUAGGUCAAGUCAAGGGUGAAAUCCCCGGGCUCAACGUGGGAACUGACUUUGAAACUGGCAAACUGGAGUGUGUGAGAGGAUAGUGGAAUUCCAGGUGUAGGAGUGAAAUGCGUAGAUAUCUGGAGGAACAUCAGUGGCGAAGGCGACUAUCUGGCACAUAACUGACGCUGAGGAGCGAAAGCGUGGGUAGCAAACAGGAUUAGAUACCCCUGUAGUC
rnacentral:rRNA from 1 species